rnacentral:rRNA from 1 species
ACUCCUACGGGAGGCAGCAGUGAGGAAUAUUGGACAAUGGAGGCAACUCUGAUCCAGCCAUGCCGCGUGCAGGAAGACUGCCCUAUGGGUUGUAAACUGCUUUUUAUACAGGAAGAAACACCUCUACGUGUAGAGAUUUUGACGGUACUGUAAGAAUAAGGAUCGGCUAACUCCGUGCCAGCAGCCGCGGUAAUACGGAGGAUCCAAGCGUUAUCCGGAAUCAUUGGGUUUUAAAGGGUCCGUAGGUGGAUAAUUAAGUCAGAGGUGAAAUCCUGCAGCUUAACUGUAGAAUUGCCUUUGAUACUGGUUGUCUUGAGUUAUUAUGAAGUGGUUAGAAUAUGUAGUGUAGCGGUGAAAUGCAUAGAUAUUACAUAGAAUACCAAUUGCGAAGGCAGAUCACUAAUAAUAUACUGACACUGAUGGACGAAAGCGUGGGGAGCGAACAGGAUUAGAUACCCUGGUAGCACAGAG